AAUUAAGUCCACACCGUGAGCAAAUACACAACCUAAAUUUGAUAUGCACAUAAGUUCCUACGUGGUUCCUAUGACAUAGACAUACUUUGAAUUAGACUACGGGUUUCCAUCAUCAUCGUGACACAAACAAGCUCGGCUACGUGCUCUACUUAUAGGUCACACACAUAAACUAAUCAUGCAAUUACGUAUCACAUAAAGAAUCGAUGUGUUUAAGCACAAGUCCAAAUCAAACAUAGGUAGAAAAUCGGUGAAAUAACAAAGACAAUGCAACUUAUCAACUACUUGUAUCAAAGUCGAACCUUGGAUGAUUAACACAUGCAACAUCAAUUACACAUGAAAAUAGAAGAAUACACCAAAAAUCUUAAAGUACAUGGACAUAAAACUCACGGCAUAAAACCUAAAAUCAUUGAUCAUAAAUCAUAAACUUCAAUUCAAAACAUGGCUCAAAGGUACUUCUAUCUCAUAGACAAGAAUCGAAACAUACUUAAGCAAAAACCUAAAACAAACAUAAAAAAGAACGAACACAUUCUAAUCCGAAAGUAAAAGAUGGAAUUCACUCUCAAAAUAUCCCUACUUGUUCUAUUCUUCGAGUGAGCGGAACCCUAGGCUACUUGCUUCGGAUCAAGGAUGACGGUGAGUUCGGAUUAUGGUGUUUGGAGAAUGAUGGAGUUUCGGCAAAGCUUUGGUGUAAUUUUGCACGGGUUGAUGAUGAUAAACUGCUGCCAUGCCGUGCCCUAUAUAUAGAGUAACAAGACUUGAUCUCCAAGAAUUCCUCAAGCACAAGGAAUCCUUAUUAAAUCGGCAAAACCAAGUCCAAGUUGGAUUUAACUUCCUCUCUUAGUCUUCAAGUAAUCCUUAUGCAUUAAGGAAUGACAAAACCAUCUUAAACUUGGAAAACCUUCUCUCUUGGGCCGCACGGUCUCUUUCCUUGGUGACUUGGGAAAUCUCACGGCAUCUUCCAUACAUAUCUCGGAUUGUACUUCUCCUAGCUCAAGCAGGAACUCCUAGCUGCCGGCCACCUUUCCCUCAUGAGUCAGGAAAACAUUUCCUGGUCAACACGGGUUUAGACUUUCCUGAAAUAGAAAUAAGAAAAUUAGAAACUAGGAAAGAGGAAAGAUGGAAUCCUGAUCAAGACAGGAAUCCUGAGUAAACAAGGAUUUUCAACACUUAGCACAAUUUCAACACCAAAUUAUUCAAAUCCGAAAAUAUUAUGUAUUCUAACACUAAAA
rnacentral:lncRNA from 1 species